AAAUUGAAGAGUUUGAUCAUGGCUCAGAUUGAACGCUGGCGGCAGGCCUAACACAUGCAAGUCGAGCGGUAGCACAGGAGAGCUUGCUCUCCGGGUGACGAGCGGCGGACGGGUGAGUAAUGUCUGGGAAACUGCCUGAUGGAGGGGGAUAACUACUGGAAACGGUAGCUAAUACCGCAUAACGUCGCAAGACCAAAGAGGGGGACCUUCGGGCCUCUUGCCAUCAGAUGUGCCCAGAUGGGAUUAGCUAGUAGGUGGGGUAACGGCUCACCUAGGCGACGAUCCCUAGCUGGUCUGAGAGGAUGACCAGCCACACUGGAACUGAGACACGGUCCAGACUCCUACGGGAGGCAGCAGUGGGGAAUAUUGCACAAUGGGCGCAAGCCUGAUGCAGCCAUGCCGCGUGUAUGAAGAAGGCCUUCGGGUUGUAAAGUACUUUCAGCGGGGAGGAAGGCGAUAAGGUUAAUAACCUUGUCGAUUGACGUUACCCGCAGAAGAAGCACCGGCUAACUCCGUGCCAGCAGCCGCGGUAAUACGGAGGGUGCAAGCGUUAAUCGGAAUUACUGGGCGUAAAGCGCACGCAGGCGGUCUGUCAAGUCGGAUGUGAAAUCCCCGGGCUCAACCUGGGAACUGCAUUCGAAACUGGCAGGCUAGAGUCUUGUAGAGGGGGGUAGAAUUCCAGGUGUAGCGGUGAAAUGCGUAGAGAUCUGGAGGAAUACCGGUGGCGAAGGCGGCCCCCUGGACAAAGACUGACGCUCAGGUGCGAAAGCGUGGGGAGCAAACAGGAUUAGAUACCCUGGUAGUCCACGCCGUAAACGAUGUCGACUUGGAGGUUGUGCCCUUGAGGCGUGGCUUCCGGAGCUAACGCGUUAAGUCGACCGCCUGGGGAGUACGGCCGCAAGGUUAAAACUCAAAUGAAUUGACGGGGGCCCGCACAAGCGGUGGAGCAUGUGGUUUAAUUCGAUGCAACGCGAAGAACCUUACCUACUCUUGACAUCCAGAGAACUUUCCAGAGAUGGAUUGGUGCCUUCGGGAACUCUGAGACAGGUGCUGCAUGGCUGUCGUCAGCUCGUGUUGUGAAAUGUUGGGUUAAGUCCCGCAACGAGCGCAACCCUUAUCCUUUGUUGCCAGCGGUCCGGCCGGGAACUCAAAGGAGACUGCCAGUGAUAAACUGGAGGAAGGUGGGGAUGACGUCAAGUCAUCAUGGCCCUUACGAGUAGGGCUACACACGUGCUACAAUGGCGCAUACAAAGAGAAGCGACCUCGCGAGAGCAAGCGGACCUCAUAAAGUGCGUCGUAGUCCGGAUUGGAGUCUGCAACUCGACUCCAUGAAGUCGGAAUCGCUAGUAAUCGUAGAUCAGAAUGCUACGGUGAAUACGUUCCCGGGCCUUGUACACACCGCCCGUCACACCAUGGGAGUGGGUUGCAAAAGAAGUAGGUAGCUUAACCUUCGGGAGGGCGCUUACCACUUUGUGAUUCAUGACUGGGGUGAAGUCGUAACAAGGUAACCGUAGGGGAACCUGCGGUUGGAUCACCUCCUUA
rnacentral:rRNA from 2 species